GAGCGGCGAACGGGUGAGUAACACGUGAGUAACCUGCCCUAGGCUUUGGGAUAACCCUCGGAAACGGGGGCUAAUACCGGAUAUGACCUGCUUCCGCAUGGUGGUGGGUGGAAAGUUUUUCGGCCUGGGAUGGGCUCGCGGCCUAUCAGCUUGUUGGUGGGGUGAUGGCCUACCAAGGCGACGACGGGUAGCCGGCCUGAGAGGGCGACCGGCCACACUGGGACUGAGACACGGCCCAGACUCCUACGGGAGGCAGCAGUGGGGAAUAUUGCACAAUGGGCGGAAGCCUGAUGCAGCGACGCCGCGUGAGGGAUGACGGCCUUCGGGUUGUAAACCUCUUUCAGCAGGGACGAAGCGUAAGUGACGGUACCUGCAGAAGAAGCGCCGGCCAACUACGUGCCAGCAGCCGCGGUAAGACGUAGGGCGCGAGCGUUGUCCGGAUUUAUUGGGCGUAAAGAGCUCGUAGGCGGCUUGUCGCGUCGACUGUGAAAACCCACAGCUCAACUGUGGGCUUGCAGCCGAUACGGGCAGGCUAAAAGUUCGGUAGGGGAGACUGGAAUUCCU
rnacentral:rRNA from 1 species